AGAGCGAACGCUGGCGGCAGGCCUAACACAUGCAAGUCGAACGGACUCUUCGGAGUUAGUGGCGGACGGGUGAGUAACACGUGGGAACGUGCCUUUUGGUUCGGAAUAGCUCCUGGAAACGGGUGGUAAUGCCGAAUGUGCCCCCUCCUUUGAUCGGGGGGUGGGAAAGAUUUAUCGCCAUUAGAGCGGCCCGCGUCUGAUUAGCUAGUUGGUGAGGUAAAGGCUCACCAAGGCGACGAUCAGUAGCUGGUCUGAGAGGAUGACCAGCCACAUUGGGACUGAGACACGGCCCAAACUCCUACGGGAGGCAGCAGUGGGAAUCUUGCGCAAUGGGCAAAGCCUGACGCAGCCAUGCCGCGUGAAUGAUGAAGGUCUUAGGAUUGUAAAAUUCUUUCACGGGACAUAAUGACGGUACCGGAGAAGAAGCCCGCUAACUCGUGCCAGCAGCCGC
rnacentral:rRNA from 1 species